rnacentral:lncRNA from 1 species
AGAGAAAGUAAGUGUGCAUGCAAGGAAGAAGAAUUUCUACUAUAAAACAAUCACACUACAUCAUCUAUUAGGCUUAGUUUAGUAUCAAGGUCUAUUUGACGCUAUUAGUUAAAAUGAAGUUGAGAUAAAAAUGUAUAGGGAUAUAUUCUGCGUUCUUCGGUAGGAUCGCAGAAAAUAUAUCGUAACCAAUUCAUCUUGAACGCAAAUAUUAUGUAUAGAACAAAAUAGAAUAUUUCCUUAUCGUACUUUUUCACCGCAAUGCAAUCUUUUCUCAAUUCAAAACGAAAUCUUAAUAAUCAAUCAUAUCUCCCUUUAAAUAAAAAAGUAUAAUAAUAAUCUUUUUCUAAUUAAUCAUAAUGGGUUUGAUAAACUCAAAAGAAAUUAAUUUGACUGAUUGGUGAUGUUAUAUCAAAAACAUAACUGAUAUGUUUUUAAAAUAUUUCUUCUUCUUUUUUUUAUGAGGCAGAGAGAUGUAGGGAUGCAAACGGGGCGGAUCCGGGGGCGGGAGAGUUCCCCCACCUCCCACUCCAUUUUUUAUCGGGGCAGGGCGGAUUCGGGGCGGAUUACUUUUCAUUUUAUUUUUAGCUCCCACUUACCGCUCCAUUCGGGGCGGAUCGGGGCGGGAGCCGGAUUUUUGACGGAUCAGGGCGGAUUGAAGGAAGAAAAUAGUCUCCCACCUCCCGCUCCAUUUACUUGGCGGAUCGGGGCGAAUUCGGGACGGGUUAUAUUUUUUUAUAUUUUUUGUUCCCACUUACCACCCUAUUCAGGACGGAUCGGGGCGUAGCUCCACCAACCCGGAUCCAUUUGCAUCCCUAGA